GCUCCUGCAUUGAGCGUCUGCCCCCUGGUGGUCAGUGCACAUCAUAGCGACUGAUCAUUCCGCCCUUCGGUCGAUUUGCAUAUUACCCUUUUAUUAUAUAGGAUUGCUUUCUAUAUAUGUACUCUAAAGUUUCAUCAGAACCGUAGAAUGUUUGAAAGGAAGAAAGCUUUGCUUACUCUUCUUUCAACAGAUGACAGAUUAUAUGUGCCCCUCCUUCCUGACUGCAAAGGAGAUGGGCAUAUCUGCCACACUUUUGAUAUUUGAUAGGAGACUAGGACUUCCAGAAUCUGAGCACUUUCUCUAUUGGCAGCUUGUUUGUCCAACGCAAGAGUGUUUACAUAGUACAAGGGGCUGGCAGUUUGUUUGGAUGGACUAGUAGGAAGAAUGCAAUGUUCCCAGCCUGGUUUCCACCUGUUCUGCUGAGCUGGAAUAGUGAAACCUGAGUGGACUUUCCUUCCUUACUCUAGGCUAUCAGCUAUCUAGGAUGCAGGCUAUGCCAGACCCAGAGCUUCAAGAUGAGCUAAGCUGGAGGCAAAACAUUCCCCCAAGAGACUUGCCUUCUUAGACUAUUCGAGGAUUACUGUAUUAAAACAUAUUUUGGACCUUUCAGAGGAUUGAAUCCUAAUAUUCAGAUAGUUUUCCCCUCAUUUGAAUUAUAGUCAGGAAAUGUGGUUUAUUGGAAAACAGACCCUCACAAGUAGUUUUAGACAGUUGUGUAGAAAAUUGAGUUUGUUGUUUUUAAUUUAUAAGGAAAUUAUUUCAAAUCUAUAAGUAAAUUAUUGAAACAGGAAAUGGAUCAUAGUUACCUAAUGCUCUUUAUAUGGCAUUUCUAACUUGUGCUUGACAUGUGUCUCUGCUUGGAAUUUUUCAGGGCUCCCUGGGUAGUAUCAGGAAAAAGAUACUGCUUCUGGAAGGCAGAUACAGACUGAAAGAACUCUUUAAGAAUAGAAGAUCUUAGAUUCUCCUCUGCUAUGUUCCCUUUGUUUUCUCUUGUGUGAAUUCUAACCAGUUUAACUCUCCCUUACUGAGUUUAGCUAUGGGGAUGCUGAGGCCAGGUGGAAAUAAAUGAAUGAACUACUAGAGUCUGACUUAUUCCUUUAGCACAUUUUCCUUUGUGAUCAUGGAGAAUAUGAGUGUGCUAUCCCCAUUCCUGGGGACUCAGCAGUUUUCUUUCCCUUAAACACACUUAACUUUAUAAUGUUAAAUCAGCUUUAUAUGACUUAAUAUUUUAAAAAGCUUAAUAUAAAUUAGCUUUAUAUUUCCUGUCAUUUUUGUGCUUCCCUCUUAGACUUCCUUUCCUCCGACAUACUCAUUUUCUUUUAUUAUUUUUAAGUGACUGCUUCAGUUUUACAAAACUCCUGUUUAGGAUGUUGACACCAAUAAGUAGUGAUGUCAGAAUCUAUUUUGUUUCUCUGUGAACAGUAGAUGAGAUAUUGACUCAUUCUAUGUCAUUCUUGGGCCAUUCCUUGAAAAUGGAAGGGAAUGUCUCUACAUUUGAAGGUAUCCAUUACUUCCUUCUUUGUAGUUCUAAUUGACUUCUUUACUAUCAUAAGGCGUGGGAAUUGAAGGGACACUAGCAAGUUUUAUCCUCAUGUAUUAUUUGCCUUUUAUAAAGCACUUUGCAAAACAAAGUGCUUUAUAUCCAUUUUAUUAUUUAUUCUCUAGUUCUAGUUACACUAGUCCUAUGAGACAGCAUAGUCCUAAAGAUAGGAAGACUAAAACUGUGAUAAAUAAAAAGAAAAGCUUACCCUGCCUUUACUGUACUUUAGUAGAAAUGUGGCAUGCUUUGUGGCAAAGCUGGAAUAGGAAUCAUUAGAAAUUGAAUUCAAGUCCAUGUUAUGACCUUCUGUUGCCUCACUACCCUAAGGGACUGAAUGUCAGUCCUGUGAUAGAAUAAAUAAAUGAAUCAGAGCCAGACCCUGCUCUCUGUUCUGUAUGAUUCUGAAUACAGAUACCUUACCUGGUGUUUCUUGGGUUGCAGUGACACUUUCCAUUUUAACCAUACAGAACCUGUAUCUUUACUGAGAAUUUAUUGCUUUUCAAAGGAGGUGGAAGACUCUCUAUGUGAUGUGUGUCCCUGAUUGGCUAUUUUCCCCAAGGACAGCUAACAAAUAUGUCAUGUGGGCUGAAAGACCAAUCAGGAUCCCCUGCUCUCAUUCAUAGGGAAAGACAUUAUUCUUGAAGGUUUGGUCUGAUAGUUUCCUGAGCUGUCUGUGACAGUCAUACUGUACUGUCAUUAACCUUGACUUGACACUUUUCCUCAGUUUGCUCAAUUUGAAUGAAGUAAUGAGUGAAUGAAUUUAUACUGUGCUUAAGAUGAUGCUCCUAAACCUACAGUGAUGCUAAUUUUAUUUUAUUUAUUUUCCCUUUUUUGUUUUAUUUUUUUUACAGUGAUGCUAAUUUUAAAAAUACUUAUUAAAUGUUGGGCAUAUUAAAUGAACAAGACAGGGUUUUUGCCCCUGGACAACUUACAGUAUGGUCCACAGAAACAGUUACAAUAAAUGGUCUGAAGAAGGAUCUGAUAUAAAAUACUUAGAGCCUGGCUUGACCCAGAGCCACCUUUCCGCCUUCCCACACUGACCAGAGGCCCAGAGCAGCUGGGGCGGUGUGGAACACCUGCGUCAUUGGUGCCUGCACAUGCUAAUUACCUCGCCAUCUUUGUUGGGUUAAUUUGCAUACUCACUCCUGGUUGGCUGGUGGGCAUCGUGAAGGUACGGUCGAUUUGCAUCUUUCUCUUUUAUUAGUGUAGACAAUAUUGGCACUAUUAGAUGGAGGUGCCCAGUUGAAGAUAAACUGAAUACUGUCUUGGAGUCAUAGUCCGACUUUAGAUUUUCUGAGUGUUAAAAGGGUCCCUUCUGAGGAUACCAGUGGGCCAUAUGGUUUGGACAAUCCAAGAAUCUGGAUCAGGUUCAGAAGGUAUUGUCAGUUUAAAAAGCCAGAACAAAAGUGAUUGAUGGGGGUGACAGUCUUUGAGGGUCUGGCUCAGUCUCAUGGUUCCAUCUUAAUUGUGUUCCUUGGCAUAGAGUUGUCAUCUGGAAUCUUUGUCCUAGGGAUUUCCUUUUCUUCUUUCAUGUGUUAGAUCUCCUAUUUCCUGUAUUUCAAGUCUUCUACUUUCUUAGGUUGAUCCCUCAUUUUGGUGGAUCAUAUACUACAAUAGCUUCCUGAAAGUUUAACUGUUUAAAAAUGUCUAUUCUGAACUCACAUUUGACUGAUAGUUUGGUCGAGUAUAUAGAAUUCUAGGUUGGAAAUUAUUUUUCUUCAGAUUUUAAAGGCCUUGUUCCAUUGCCAUCUAGCUUUUGGUUUAUUGUAAAAAAAAUUCAAAGCUUGCC